CCUACGGGAUGCAGCAGAGGGGAAUAUUUGGCAAUGGGCGCAAGCCUGACCCAGCAACGCCGCGUGAAGGAAGAAGGCUUUCGGGUUGUCAACUUCUUUUAAGAGGGAAGAGCAGAAGACGGUACCUCUUGAAUAAGCCACGGCUAACUCCGUGCCAGCGGCCGCGGUACUACGUAGGUGGCAAGCGUUGUCCGGAUUUACUGGGUGUAAAGGGCGUGUAGCCGGGCUGACAAGUCCGAUGGGAAAGUCCGGGGCUCAACCGCGGACCUGCAUUUGAACCUGUUGGUCUUGAGUAUCGGAGAGGCAGGCGGAAUUCCUAGUGUAGCGGUGAAAUGCGUAGAUAUUAGGAGGAACACCAGUGGCGAAGGCGGCCUGCUGGACGACAACUGACGGUGAGGCGCGAAAGCGUGGGGAGCAAACAGGAUUAGAUACCCUUGUAGUC
rnacentral:rRNA from 1 species